UACAGAGGGUGCGAGCGUUAAUCGGAAUUACUGGGCGUAAAGCGCACGUAGGUGGUUUGGUAAGUCGGAUGUGAAAUCCCCGGGCUUAACCUGGGAAUGGCAUUCGAUACUGUCAAACUAGAGUCUGGUAGAGGGUGGUGGAAUUCCAGGUGUAGCGGUGAAAUGCGUAGAUAUCUGGAGGAACAUCAGUGGCGAAGGCGGCCACCUGGACUGAGACUGACACUGAGGUGCGAAAGCGUGGGUAGCAAACAGG
rnacentral:rRNA from 1 species